AUAUGGCGGCGUGCGAGCUGAAGGGAGAGCUGAAGUACCGAGAUGGAUUGACAAGCCAGUUUACAGUGCAAGCAGAUGGCAGUUUGAAAUCAAUGAUAACUGGCAUCAAGAAAUUAAAUGCUGAUAUAUCUGAAGUUUUGACGGCUCUUGUUGAACAAGAAAGGGGCUCAGUGGAAAACAGCACAGCAGGUGUAGAUGAUGAAGAGGAAAGAGGACAGUGAUGAAGAGGAUAGGAGUACAGAAAUGGCCACCAAAAAGUCAAACUCAGAGCCUCCAAAAAAGCGGAUAAAAACCUUACGUUCAUGAUCUUCAGAACUGUCAUUGUUUUGUUAUGGCCUUUAUUACAUAAAGAUGUGGAAAAACCUUUUUGUCAGCCACAGUUUCAAGGCUAUGUUGAGAUUUUGCCUUAAUUUGUUCCCAUUUUUGUUGAUGUAUUUAAAGUAUAACCGUGUAAAAGGAAAAUUAUUUUAUCUAUACAUUUUUCCUUUUGUAAAAUGUUACAAAUUGGCAGGGAUUUGUUCAGCUUGUUCAGGUUUCUUCAGCUAACAGGUGAUAAUAAACUACUGUGCAAUAAACUGGAAUCAAACUGUCCAGUAAAA